rnacentral:lncRNA from 1 species
AAAAAACAAAGAAGAAAAAAGUUGAGAAGAACAUUCGACCCUCACCUAAAUCUCUUCAUUUCAGAGAUCAUUGGGUUUUCCUUGGUGUCGAUCCAUAAAUUAAAAGAAAUCUAGCAAACCAAAAAUAGAUCCGAAAAGAAAGAGGGAAAAAAACUAGAGAUCACCUUUAUACUGGAUUUUUUUUGUUUAUGUAUGUAUGCAGAAACGUAUAUUGUGCCCAGUGAGCGUUCCUCCCCCGGUGAUCGGGUUCCUCCCCAAGGCUUUAUAGCCGAUUUCGCUAUUGUUUCUGCUAUCUCCUUUGCUGUUUGCACAUGGUUUUUGUCUUUUUGUGUCCUCUUUUCUUGCUUGUUUGCAGGCUUUGAGGGGUGUCAGACGCAUGGAGGAGAGGGGCAUGCGUGGGGCGUGCGACGGUGGUAGUGCGCAAGGUGGCCAAUGGUUGGCCUAGAGGUUCGGCAGCACACCUGGGGGGCUGAGUUGCGGCUGAAGGUUGAUUGCUGAAAAAUUUUGAAAUAGUUGGGCUAGGGUUUUGGUAUUGGUUUGGGCUUGUUUUGUUUAAUGGGCUUAUUGGGUUAGGGGUUUUUUGGAUUAGGGUAGGUUAGUUAUUGGGUUUUGGGGAUGGCCCAAAAUUGGCCUGUACA